AAACUUCGAGUGCAACUUUUUCCCUUGGAAUGUGGAAAGAGGCUCAACCUCGUAGUUAAUGUUUAGUUUCUGAGCUGAGUAAAUGGACCCACGCUGCUGGCGACAGAAGGGAGGAUGCCAGUAGAAUGGGUGUGAGGAUUUAUUUAGCAAUCGGGUCCUGCUUUGUGGGCGUCUCUUAUAAGGCUUUCAUAUGAAAUUUAGAUUAUAAUUCCCUGCUCGGCUUUGAUGCUCUCUGUCCUGAUUAAAAUCACAUCAACCUUUCAGUCGCAUAAGAAGACCACAGCCUGGGUGCCCAUUUACAAAUUCUCCGAUUUUUGUGGAUGCAGAAUUUAAGAAGAUUUUGCUGCCUUUAAGGCGAAGAGAGGAGGGGAGCGCACCUCCGGCUGCGCUGCCGCCCGAGCCCUGCCCGUCGCGGCGAGCGGGCACCGCAGGGCCGAAGAGGAGAUGCCAGGGGAAGCCGGGCGCUCCCCACCUUUCACUCAUAGCCGCAGAGAGAGCGAGGGAGAGAAAAUUGCCACAGACCAGGGCUGCUCAUCGCUCCAGCGGCUCUCCAGGCUUCCCGAAGGGAGCGAGGGUCUGCCGCGGAGCCUUUGCGGGGAUCGAUGUGGAGCCACCAGCCCCACUAUACGCCUGAUGCGUGUGCUAGGAAAAAAAGCCCCACGGAGCCUGGAAAAAGCCCGAAUCUUUUCCCCAGGCAUGACCGCGUCCCCGCCUUGCGCGGAGCGGCAGGAGAAGGCUCCGCUGCGUGGAGGGAUGGCUGCGCCCUACAUGUCUCCCCUACCGCAUCCCUGGGUUCAGCAGAGGAAACGGGGCCGGCCUUUUAACUCCUAACAGCACCCGGGGAAAAAUCAACUCCCCUGGCGCUGCGCAGGAGCAAGCCAGCUCCAGACUGGGCAGCCCAGCCGCUGCGGGCUGAGCAGGACCGGAUGGGAUGACGGGCGGGUGGGGGCAAGGUUUGCAGGCAGAUUUUAAUAUUAAUAGUUUUGGUGGCGAGAAAGAGACAGACAGAAGGGAGGUUGCUCCUCUGGGCAGAGUCUCUGCGACACUGAUGAUGGAUGACCCCGCACGGCUAAACAACUCCUCCCCUUCAUCCCCACACAGUGUCAAAGCUACUUUACUUGCAGCUUUAGGAAUAAAAAAAUAAAUAAACACCUUCA
rnacentral:lncRNA from 1 species